rnacentral:rRNA from 1 species
UGGGGAAUAUUGGACAAUGGGCGAAAGCCUGAUCCAGCAACGCCGCGUGAGGGAUGACGGCCUUCGGGUUGUAAACCUCUUUCAGCAGGGACGAAGCGCAAGUGACGGUACCUGCAGAAGAAGCACCGGCCAACUACGUGCCAGCAGCCGCGGUAAUACGUAGGGUGCGAGCGUUGUCCGGAAUUAUCGGGCGUAAAGGGCUCGUAGGCGGUUUGUCACGUCGGGAGUGAAAACUCGGGGCUUAACCCCGAGCCUGCUUCCGAUACGGGCUGACUAGAGGUAUGCAGGGGAGAACGGAAUUCCUGGUGUAGCGGUGAAAUGCGCAGAUAUCAGGAGGAACACCGGUGGCGAAGGCGGUUCUCUGGGCAUUACCUGACGCUGAGGAGCGAAAGUGUGGGGAGCGAACAGGAUUAGAUACCCUGGUAGUCCACACCGUAAACGUUGGGCGCUAGGUGUGGGACUCAUUCCACGAGUUCCGUGCCGCAGCUAACGCAUUAAGCG